rnacentral:tRNA from 1 species
UGGGCUGGGGCUCAGUGGUAGAGUGCUUGCCUAGCAUGUGUCAAGCCCUGGGUUCAAAUCCCGGCACCACAU